AACAAUAUAAAUAUAAAUAUUUUAACAUAUGAGUAAUGCUAUUUAGACACACAAUAUUGACCACCUUAGCUGACCACCUUAUGUGGCAGCUGAGGUGUCUUGCCAUGUCAAUUAAUGAAUAUUGCCAUGUGUAUUCUAUUUUUUCUUUUUCUUUUUUCAAUAAUCCUUAAAAAACAAAAACAUUACAAAUUAAAAAUCAAAUUAAAA
rnacentral:lncRNA from 1 species